GACGAACGCUGGCGGCGUGCCUAAUGCAUGCAAGUAGAACGCUGAAGAGAGGAGCUUGCUCUUCUUGGAUGAGUUGCGAACGGGUGAGUAACGCGUAGGUAACCUGCCUUGUAGCGGGGGAUAACUAUUGGAAACGAUAGCUAAUACCGCAUAACAAUGGAUGACACAUGUCAUUUAUUUGAAAGGGGCAAUUGUUCCACUACAAGAUGGACCUGCGUUGUAUUAGCUAGUAGGUGAGGUAAUGGCUCACCUAGGCGACGAUACAUAGCCGACCUGAGAGGGUGAUCGGCCACACUGGGACUGAGACACGGCCCAGACUCCUACGGGAGGCAGCAGUAGGGAAUCUUCGGCAAUGGGGGCAACCCUGACCGAGCAACGCCGCGUGAGUGAAGAAGGUUUUCGGAUCGUAAAGCUCUGUUGUAAGUCAAGAACGGGUGUGAGAGUGGAAAGUUCACACUGUGACGGUAGCUUACCAGAAAGGGACGGCUAACUACGUG
rnacentral:rRNA from 1 species